AGAAAUUAAUUUAAUUUAUUUAAUGGUGCCAUGGGACACUUGGCAACAUCAGGGACCUCUUUCAUCAUUAGAUGGGUCGAAAUGGAGAGAUAAAUUCAUGAAAAGAAUUGGAUAAGAUCAAAUUCUCUCUUUUCAUGUCAUAUGUCAUCCUUAUCUUUAUCUCACUUCUAAUUAAGGUUGAAUUUCGAAUUUAAUCAUCACAAAAUCACCACGUGACCCUCUAAUCUGUUUGGGGGCAUGGGAAUUUUCGAAAUUGAAAGAGGAAAGUGGCAGCAUGAUGAAUGGUUUAGAUUAGAUCAAGCUUCAUCAUGUAAUGGCACAUGAACUUAAAUUUUGAAUUCAAAAUUCAAAACCCCACAAAAUCCUCCACAAAUAUGGGAUGGUUGGCAUGAAGUUAGGUAGGAGAGCAACAUUAAAAGGACCUCCAUCAUCUGGUGGUCGAAUUAAAGGAAAAAAGAGAGAAAAAGAAGAAGAAAAAAGGGAAAAGAAAAGAGAGGAACCCUAGUUCAUGCAUGGAAAAAUUCUGCAUUCAAUCUAACUGACUUCUUCCUCCUCUAAGUCCAUCGCGCCAUUAGUGUUAGGGGU
rnacentral:lncRNA from 1 species